GCCAGUGUGGCUUAGUGGUUUGAGUAUUAGGCUAUGACCAAGAAACCAGGGUUCGAUUUUCAGCUCAACCA